AUGCUAAAACUCUACCUACCUGGUAUUCCUCCUCUGUCAUCACCACCACUAGCACCAUCGGCUUUGCCACUUGCUGGGAUAUGUUUGUUAGCUAUGCAAAGCCAAAAUGGUGAGGACGAAAGCAUUUUGCACGCGUACGUCUAUGGAAUAUGUUCUAGAACUGAGUACUGGACUAGACCUUUGGGACUGAGUGUUCUUAUUGUAUUGCAGGUUGAAUCCGAUUUGGUCUACGGUCCAAAUAUUUUUAAAAUGAAAAAAACAUGGGGGGAAAGGAGAAAAAUUCCAACAAAAGAAGAACAAAACCAAAAACGACAGCCUAGCUGGUCACGCUGA
rnacentral:rRNA from 1 species